UCCAUAUGCUGCAGGUUUGGCCAUAAAAAAAGGUAGCUAAUGGCAUGUAAGUGGAUGUUCUGUGUUGAGCUUUUGGAAGAUUCUUUGCAGGAAACUUCCCCAGCAGAGGAGGAGCCACUGGACCCUCCACUUUCCUCACCCUUCCUGUCUGGAACAUACCAGGAUCAGAAUUUUUGGUCGGGAAGUAACAUCUGAAUCUGUACCUGCUGACGUCGGAACGAUGUUCUCCGUGCCCCCGAGCUGGUAAUGAGCCCUUUUGCCCUCCAAUUUUAGUAUGGCCCCAGAUAGUCAGACACAAUAAAAGCCAAAACAGGAGUUCCCAUUGUGGCUCAGGACCGAACCCGCAACCUCAUGGUUCCUAGUCGGAUUCGUUAACCACUGCACCACGACGGGAACUCCAUAAAGAUAUGCACUAGGAUCUUCUUUAUUUUUUAUUUUUAUUUUUUUGUCUUUUUGUUAUUUCUUGGGCCGCUCCCGUGGCAUGUGGAGAUUCCCAGGCUAGGGGUCUAAUCGGAGCUGUAGCCACUGGCCUACACCAGAGCCACAGCAGCUCGGGAUCCGAGCCACGUCUGCAACCUACUCACGGCAACACCGGAUCCUUAACCCACUGAGCAAGGCCAGGAACCGAACCCGCAACCUCAUGGUUCCUAGUUGGAUUCGUUAACCACUGCGCGCCACGACGGGGAACUCCCCCUGACUGUUUAUCAGCGGAUUAGAAAGUCAUUUUGAUUAGAUCUGUGUCCAGGGUUUACAAUCUCUACCCAGCCCCGGGGUGUAUCUGUGCUUCUCCUUCCUGCAUAACUGUAUUUUCCCUGGAGUUAGGGAUCAUCUUGUUUUGUAUCUGUUUAAAACUUUUUUUCCUUUUUUUUUCUUUUUUCACAGUCACACCCACAGCAUAUGGAAGUUCCCAGGCUAGGAACUAGAGCUACAGCUGCCAGCCUACACCAAAGCUCAUGGCACCAUCAAAUCGUUAACUCACGAAGCGAGGCCAGGGAUCGAACCCGUGUCCUCAUGGAUACUGGUCGGGUUCAUUACUGCUGAGCCACAGCGGGAACUCCAGCAGCCUUUCACUUUCUUGGAGACUUUGUCCCUAACUGGCCUUUUCGCCCACUCUCUCUCUUUCUUGCCCACGGACUAAAGCCCGCAGGUAGCUGUUCACGUACCACCUGCCCCUCUCAGCCUCUCAGGAGCAUCUGGUGCCAUGGAUUCCCCAGCUGCUCAGUGGUUUGGGUUCAAUGAGUUUCUUAUAUACUUUCCCACCUCCAGCCUAGGAUUCACCUUCUGGGAUCUACUAAGAAAUUACCACAUGGCCAGUACCUCAGUUUAUCUUCUCUCUCCUUUUCUUGGUCCCUCAGGGUUUACACCUUUAAAAAAAAAUUGGAGUUCCCGUUGUGGCGCAGUGGAAACGAAUCUGACUAGGAACCAUGAUGUUGCAGGUUCAAUCCCUGGCCUCACUCAGUGGGUUAAGGAUCCGGCAUUGCCGUGAGGUGUGUAGCUUGCAGACACGGCUUGGAUCUGGCAUUCCUAUGGCUGGCGGCUACUACUCCGAUUCGAACCCUAGCCUGGGAACCUCCAUAUGCUGCGGGUGCGGCCCUAAAAAGACAGAAACAAAACAAAAAAUCUUUUGAAACAUAGUGGUUAAGGGCCAGAAGUCUGGGACCCUUUUUUGGCUCUGCAUUUCCUGACUACGUGAUCUGAAGACAGUUGCCUUUCUCUUUAUGUCAAUCAAACAGGGCAAAGCUAAUCCCUACCUCACAGAUUAGAUUAGAUGAGAUUGGCAGGAACUAAAGUGUGGAUGUUGAUUAAUUUCCUUGAGCCCUGUGACACACCGCAGGACAUAGCUGUUUGCACGGGAGUGGCUGCUCUUAGUGGCUUUUAGGAAGGGAGUGACUUCACAGGACAUUACACUCUGUCACUACUUACCCCAUUACUCCCCUCCUAGCAGCGUAAAAUUACUAUUUUAGUUUGUUCAAGGAUCCUGUGGAUUAGGAAUUCAGAUAGGGCAUAGUGAGGGUGGCUUGUUUCUGCUGCUCAUUGUCUGGAGCCUUAGCCUAGAAGACUCAGUGGGGGGGUGGGGGGUCAGGACGGGGGUGAAAGCCUGGGACUGGAUCACCUGCAAGGAGUUGCUAGAGUGGUUCAGUGGGUUAAAAACCUGACUAGUAUCCACGAGGAUGCGGGUUCGAUCCCUGGCCUCACUCAGUAGAUUAAGAUCUGGCGUUGCCCCAAGCUGCAGUGUAGCUCACAGAUGCAGCUCUAAUCCUGUGCUGCUGUGGGUGUGGUGUAGGCCAGCAGCUGCAGCUCCAUUUUGACACUCAGCCUGGGAACUUCCAUAUGCUGUGUGUUUGGCCCUAAAAAGAAAAAAACUCCCUCUGCCAGUCGGAGUUCUCUCCUGGCACUGUGGGUUAAGGGUCUGGCAUUGUCACUGCAGCGGCUCAGGUUAUUACUUUGGCUCAGGUUCGAUCCCUGGCCCAGGAACCUCCA
ensembl:lncRNA